CGAACGGGUGAGUAACACGUGGGUGACCUGCCUCGCACUUCGGGAUAAGCCUGGGAAACUGGGUCUAAUACCGGAUAUGACCAUGGAAUGCAUGUUUUGUGGUGGAAAGAUUUAUCGGUGCGAGAUGGGCCCGCGGCCUAUCAGCUUGUUGGUGGGGUAACGGCCUACCAAGGCGACGACGGGUAGCCGACCUGAGAGGGUGACCGGCCACACUGGGACUGAGACACGGCCCAGACUCCUACGGGAGGCAGCAGUGGGGAAUAUUGCACAAUGGGCGAAAGCCUGAUGCAGCGACGCCGCGUGAGGGAUGACGGCCUUCGGGUUGUAAACCUCUUUCGACAGGGACGAAGCGCAAGUGACGGUACCUGUAGAAGAAGCACCGGCCAACUACGUGCCAGCAGCCGCGGUAAUACGUAGGGUGCGAGCGUUGUCCGGAAUUACUGGGCGUAAAGAGCUUGUAGGCGGUUUGUCGCGUCUUCUGUGAAAACUUGGGGCUCAACCUUAAGCUUGCAGGCGAUACGGGCAGACUAGAGUACUUCAGGGGAGACUGGAAUUCCUGGUGUAGCGGUGAAAUGCGCAGAUAUCAGGAGGAACACCGGUGGCGAAGGCGGGUCUCUGGGAAGUAACUGACGCUGAGAAGCGAAAGCGUGGGUAGCGAACAGGAUUAGAUACCCUGGUAG
rnacentral:rRNA from 1 species